GCUUACGGCCAUACCUCUCUGGCUCCGCCUGAUCUCGUCUGAUCUCAGAAGCUAAGCAGAGUAGGGCCUGGUUAGUACUUGGAUGGAAGACCGCCUGGGGAAUCCCAGGUGCCGUAAGCU
ensembl:rRNA 5S_rRNA 5S ribosomal RNA